rnacentral:rRNA from 1 species
AGUGGCGAAAGGGCCAGUAAAGCAUGGAUAACCUACCUUAUGAUCUGGCAUAGCCUUCCUAACGGAAGGGUAAUACCAGGCGAUAUAACGAGUAUGCAUGUAUUUGUUAUUAUAGAAACUCGUCAUGAGAGGGGUUCAUGUAGUAUUAGCUAGUUGGUAGGGUAAUGGCCUACCAAGGCAAAGAUGCUUAGCGGGUGUGAGAGCACGACCCGCGCCACUGACACUGUGACACUGGCCAGACACCUACGGGUGGCUGCAGUCGAGGAUCUUCGGCAAUGGGCGCAAGCCUGACCGAGCGACGCCGCGUGUGCGAUGAAGGCCUUCGGGUUGUAAAGCACUGUCGAGGGGGAGGAAAGCCCGCGAGGGUUUGACCUAUCCCUGGAGGAAGCACGGGCUAAGUUCGUGCCAGCAGCCGCGGUAAGACGAACCGUGCAAACGUUGUUCGGAAUCACUGGGCAUAAAGGGCGCGUAGGCGGGUUGACAAGUCUAGGGUGAAAUCCUGCGGCUUAACCGUAGAAGAGCCUUGGAUACUGUCAAUCUAGAGGGAGGUAGGGGUAUGUGGAACUUCUGGUGGAGCGGUGAAAUGUGUUGAUAUCAGAAGGAACGCCGAUGGCGAAAGCAACGUACUGGACCUUUCCUAACGCUGAGGCGCGAAAGCUAGGGGAGCAAACGGGAUUAGAUACCCCGGUAGUCCUAGCCCUAAACGAUGGGUACUAGA